UAUUGAUCCAGGAAAAAAUUCCACAAGACCUACAGUGUUACGAGUUGGGGUACCGGUGAAACAGCAAGGAAUUACUUCGAAUCACCUGGUCCAAGUGACAAACCCUUGACUUACCUUGUGCUGUUAGCUGCCAAAGACUGCCUCGUAGCAAAGUUAAUGUACCGGAGCAAUGCGUCGCAUCGUGCGUGCGAGUUCUUGGUGACAAAAGCCUACUUCGACAACUCUCCGUCCUCCCAAUGCUGUGACAACGUGUAUGCCACCUCUUGUGAGGAAACUGCGCAAGUAUUGUAUAACCCGGGAAAUUGCUCUGCCUUGGAGAAAAACACGAAAGGCUGAAGGAAACCGAAGAAAGAUAUAAUUAGUGUCGCGAUCCAGGAGAUGGGAUCAGAGGGCAUGUUACUUUAAAUAAAUUAAUCAUACAUGGACCACAUA
rnacentral:lncRNA from 1 species